AACGAACGCUGGCGGCAGGCCUAACACAUGCAAGUCGAGCGCACCUUCGGGUGAGCGGCGGACGGGUUAGUAACGCGUGGGAACGUGCCCUUCUCUACGGAAUAGCCAUUGGAAACGAUGAGUAAUACCGUAUACGCCCUUCGGGGGAAAGAUUUAUCGGAGAAGGAUCGGCCCGCGUUAGAUUAGAUAGUUGGUGGGGUAAUGGCCUACCAAGUCUACGAUCUAUAGCUGGUUUUAGAGGAUGAUCAGCAACACUGGGACUGAGACACGGCCCAGACUCCUAC
rnacentral:rRNA from 1 species